CGUAGGGGGCAAGCGUUGUCCGGAUUUAUUGGGCGUAAAGCGCGUGUAGGCGGCCAUACAGGUCCGUUGUGAAAACUCGAGGCUCAACCUCGAGACGUCGAUGGAAACCGUAUGGCUAGAGUCCGGAAGAGGAGAGCGGAAUUCCUGGUGUAGCGGUGAAAUGCGCAGAUAUCAGGAAGAACACCCGUGGCGAAGGCGGCUCUCUGGGACGGUACUGACGCUGAGACGCGAAAGCGUGGGGAGCGAACAGGAUUAGAUACCCUGGUAGUCCACGCCGUAAACGAUGGGUGCUAGGUGUGGGGGGUGUCGACCCCUCCGUGCCGCAGCUAACGCAUUAAGCACCCCGCCUGGGGAGGUACGGCCGCAAGGCUA
rnacentral:rRNA from 1 species